CACUUAAACAAAGUUCAAUAGCUCUCCAUGCAAGAAUCCUCAGAGCUGCUGAUUUUGACAUCAUUUGAGACUGAGUUCAACAUUGAUGCAAUUGAAGUCCCCCUGCAGGAUGCCUUUGGGGCCUUCACAAUAACUGUGUGUCCCUUCAGAGUGAUGUCGACAUUUUCUGCAACACUUACAGUCUGAUUUCUGAGCAUGGUCUUCGUUCUUGCGGGAUAUGCGGCAAAGUGGUAAUGUGUCUUUUACUGCGCUACAUUUUGUAUUUAAACGUUGACUCUUCACCCCUUGUACAUUCACUGUG
rnacentral:lncRNA from 1 species